rnacentral:rRNA from 1 species
AUUGAACGCUGGCGGCAUGCCUUACACAUGCAAGUCGAACGGCAGCACGGGUGCUUGCACCUGGUGGCGAGUGGCGAACGGGUGAGUAAUACAUCGGAACAUGUCCUGUAGUGGGGGAUAGCCCGGCGAAAGCCGGAUUAAUACCGCAUACGAUCCACGGAUGAAAGCGGGGGACCUUCGGGCCUCGCGCUAUAGGGUUGGCCGAUGGCUGAUUAGCUAGUUGGUGGGGUAAAGGCCUACCAAGGCGACGAUCAGUAGCUGGUCUGAGAGGACGACCAGCCACACUGGGACUGAGACACGGCCCAGACUCCUACGGGAGGCAGCAGUGGGGAAUUUUGGACAAUGGGCGAAAGCCUGAUCCAGCAAUGCCGCGUGUGUGAAGAAGGCCUUCGGGUUGUAAAGCACUUUUGUCCGGAAAGAAAUCCUCGACUCUAAUACAGUCGGGGGAUGACGGUACCGGAAGAAUAAGCACCGGCUAACUACGUG